ensembl:lncRNA
UCACCAGCAGAGGGGUGAGACAGCAUGGAAAGAUUCAUAGGAGGGAGAAACCACUUCAUGGUUUCAGAAAGCAGAUGAGAGUAAGCUGUUAUCCUUACUUGGGAAGCUGACCCGUGCAAACUGAAGGUUAAAUUCCUACUGAAACUCUGGAGCACUUCGAGAUGUGGGGGACUAAAACUUUCAGCUGCAUCGCUGUGAAAAACAGCCACUGCAUGGUAUGGAUGUGAACCCAUUUCCAGUGGUGUAAACCAGACUCCACUGAGCCCCAGCCUGCUUUCUUUAAGCUCCUCCUGGUGUCAAAGCUCCUUAAAUAGAGCAACUCCCCUUACUUCACAUUAUGCAGUAUAGACAACUUACAGACUUCAGGCCAUGAAGGACUUAAUGGGCACCCAGGAAGUCUUGGAUAACGUGCAACAUGUCCCAUUUUCUAUGGUCAUGGCAAACUGCCCUGCAGUUUCCUGCUGGUAAGCUGCUGAAAUAGAAGGGAAAUUGUUUCCUUGUGAAUCAGCACAACCGGUAUCUUUUGCUUGUUUUAUCUGGCUGAGUGAUUUCUGCCUGGGAGGGAGAAAAUUGUGAUCCUGUGAAACAUCCACGGCCAAACACCAGCAGACCCCAGUGAGAGACUCUGGACUUGGAAACCAAAUAUCGAGAACAUUUUCUAACUUCCCUUUCCAUCUCCCAACUCUUGGUCAGACACUGCUGGUUGCUGAGCUGCACAGAGCAUUCCCACAGCUGCAGGGCAGCAGCGCACCGAGUGCCGCCGGUACCACAUUGCCGCCUGAUCGCAGUGCUGCUUUUUGUGCUGCUGCGGGACGGUGACUGCGGGCAGAGCCCAUUUCUUGCAAAGGGACACUGCUGUUGUGUCUGCUCGGCUCUGAAGGCUCUGCGUACCGAGGGCUCCGGCGAUCUGCCAGUGCCUGGGAUCAGCAGGGCGAGGGGUGGGUUACAGCGUCGGGCCGCGGUGUGCCGGGACAGCUGGUACGGCUCUGGCGCUGCUCCUUGCGCGGUGUUCUGCUCGGGGUGGGUCGGGGCCUUUCUUCUCUGCCCCUGCGGAGGAUCUGGCAGGGACUGAAGGACGGAACCGUGUGUUAUCUUUAAAAGGGAGCGAAAGGAAGUGUUUUCCUACAGCAGAAGGGGUAGAUCCACGGUAACAUCUGAAGCUAAUGCAGCCUUCCAUCAGCUUGAGGAUGCCAUCCUCUGUUCAGCUGCACUGUGGGGCUCCACCUCCCACAUCUCUGGUGUGGAACCACCCAGUACCCGCACAGCUGUGCCCUCACCAGAGCUGUGUGUACCCAGGGAGCAGCUGUGAGCACUGAGCACCACUCCAAGGUGCAGUGAUAGCGUCGUUCCCCAACACCACCACGGCUCUGACAUGCAGAGGCAGUAUCUACCGACUUCCCAGAAGUAGAGCUUUCUCAGCUGUUUUUAUUUUUGCUGAGUGACGUGUUGGACAAACAGGAGCAGUUCGCUGUGCCCCAGCUGUCACAGGGCCGAGUCACACAGAGCGUGCCGACAGCGCUUGACGCUGGAACAAAACAAGUGCUGCCUCUCUGCAGCCAGCGCGUAUCUGUGCUGGAUGCUGCAUAUACUGGAAACUCAUAUCAGCUCAUGGAAGCCUGGAUUGCCAAAAGGCAGAACCCAGAUUGAGGAGGUGUCAGUAAAGGCAUUUAUGAAGAUCUGGACAAGCUCAGCCAGCAAAGCACAAUAACCCUGAAAAGCUGUUUGUACAGCACUGAUUUGCUGCACCCAUAGGAUGCUGUAGCCUUCAAAUGCACCCAGAAGGCAAAGCAGAGUGCACGCAGCAGGUUAGGGCAUAAACAUCUCUGGUAUUAACAUCACAUCAGUAUUAAUUCAGACUUGAAGAAAAUUGUCACAUUUCACAACAAAGUCACUUCUUUCCUUCCCUGUUUCUCAGUUGAGUUUGGGUGUUAUUUCUCCAAUGCAUUUUGCACCAUCGUUUUGAUGUGCAUUUAUUGUUCCAAGAAAUGUAUCCAUUACCAGAGCUUCCUUGCAGCACGAGGUAUGACUUCAUUUGAUCAACCGACUGAAGGCUGAGUGGAAUUCAUGAGACUUCUCUGAUACUUAGCACUCAUUGGUGAGGGACAGGCUGGGCUGUAGUCAUGUUCCUGGCCCACAUCUGCAACAGUAAGCCCAGGAAACAUCAGAGCGCUUUUCUGAGUCCCACACCUACCCACGUGGCUACAAACUUGAGAUAUCUUGUAGCUAACUGAAGGUCCUGAGCCGCUUUAGGCUCUGCCUCGGGAGCACAGUGAAAGGAAGUUCUAUGCCGGUACCUUCAGCCCAUAGAGGCAGAGGGAAAGCAGGGUCGGUUCGGCAACAUCUCCGCAGCGACCUCCUUUCAGCGCCGGGAACGGCCCGCAGCGCCACCUAGCGGCCAUGGCGGGGAAGUGACACCGACCGGAGGACGAGAAGGGAUCUGGCAGUGCUCGACCGGCCGCGGAGCACCUGGAGUUUCUGGGGAUGAUUUUCAGUUUCCACGAAGCAGAAGAGCUUUCCUGUGGAGCGUCGGUGUCUCAGACACGGUCUCCCUGCUUGGGUAGAUGCUGAAGAGCCCUCUCCAGGGAAGCGAAGCACACAGCAAAGCCCCCCAGGGUCAGAAGGAGAUCAUCCAGCAGAGACCAGACCCCACCCCGUGCCGGGUGGAGGAUUUAAUGGCACGCUAUUGGGACAAGCAGAGGCACAAGGACGGCUCCAGCUCUGCCUGCAGAUGCCCACGUGCCCUGUGGGAGCUCACCUGACCGAGCCCGGAGCACGCCCUGGUGGGGAGAACAUCUCUUUGUCCUCAUUCAGAUUACCAACUUGCUAAGCACACUCCCUCCUUGCAAAGUGAAAGGGAAAACAUGGGAGAAACUAGCAUUAUUAGAAGAAACCAGAAAGUUGUCUUUGAUCACUGGAGCUGUUGGGGUGUGCUCCUGCUGCCCCAGUAUUCCCUCAAGACAGAUGGAGGCACGUGCAGAAGAGCAUCAGGCAGUUACGCUCCUUGCCCUUUAAGCCUUGACCUGAAAUGUAAUACUUCAGGAAUAUCAUGGCUUAAACAAUUUUAGUCAGUGAGUCAGUUCAGGAUUAGCAGCCUACAGAGGGAGGGUAGUCACUCUCCCUCAUAAAUCAGCAACCAACAAGCUCUUUCCUUUGAUGAAUGUUGUUUUAAAGACAACACUCUUAUUAGCUUCAAGAACACUGCCCAUUAAUCAUGGCAAAGGAACACUGCACCCUCCUCCCCCCAUGGCUUUGUUCCUGGGACUACUGACAGCCUCACCCGGAGAGAAGAGAGGGACAGGGGAGAAGAGACCAAAAGUGCUGAGGUGCCAACAGUCAUGAGGAGAGGCAGAGGACAUCACAGGGAGGUCACCCCAAGUAACGGGAUGUAGCACAUGAGUGCUUGCAAGGCUUCCAGACCUAGAACCCUUAGGAGACACCCAAAUCUCUGCCUGCCUUUGAGCCUGCCUGAUUUUGGAAGAGGGAGUGAGACAGGAUCUGUGCCAAAAGCAGUUCCAAAUCUGGGUAACAUUUGUCCAGCUUUUUGGUUGUCACACAAGUUCUGUUUUC